UUUUAUAUAGUAUAAAUUUUUAUUACACUCAAUUUCGACUUGAAAAAUAAUAAGAUUCUUAUUUAUA
rnacentral:tRNA from 1 species